ACUUAAAUAAUUUAAAUAAAAAUAUUGAUUUGUGGAGUCAAAUAUAUGAUAAUUCAUUUUAAGUU
rnacentral:tRNA from 3 species